rnacentral:rRNA from 1 species
AAUAGAUACCCGGGUAGUCCUAGCCGUAAACGAUACUCGCUAGGUGUCGGCCACGGUGCGACCGUUGUCGGUGCCGUAGGGAAGCCGUGAAGCGAGCCACCUGGGAAGUACGGCCGCAAGGCUGAAACUUAAAGGAAUUGGCGGGGGAGCACCACAACGGGUGGAGCUUGCGGUUUAAUUGGAUUCAACGCCGGAAAUCUUACCGGGACCGACAGCAACAUGAAGGCCAGGCUGAAGACUUUGCCGGAUUAGCUGAGAGGUGGUGCAUGGCCGUCGUCAGUUCGUACUGUGAAGCAUCCUGUUAAGUCAGGCAACGAGCGAGACCCACGCCCACAGUUGCCAGCGUACUCUCCGGAGUGACGGGUACACUGUGGGGACCGCCGCUGCUAAAGCGGAGGAAGGAAUGGGCAACGGUAGGUCAGUAUGCCCCGAAUAUCCCGGGCUACACGCGAGCUACAAUGGUUGGUACAAUGGGUAUCUACCCCGAAAGGGGAUGGAAAUCUCCUAAAGCCAAUCUUAGUUCGGAUUGAGGGCUGCAACUCGCCCUCA